GAUGAACGCUGGCGGCGUGCUUAACACCUUCAAUUCUAACGAUUAAGCUCAGCUUUCUGGGUGGAUUAGUGUCGAACGGUUGAGUAACACGUGAGUAACCUGCCCUUUACUCUUGGAUAAGCCUUGGAAACUAGGUCUAAUACCGGAUAGGUUCCUCCCCCGCAUUGUUGUUUUUGGUAAUUUUUUUCGGUUUUGGAUGGACUCUCGGCCUAUCAGCUUGUUGGUUAGGUUAUUUCUCACAAAGGCGACGACGGGUAGCCGGCCUGAGAGGGUGACCGGCCAAACUGGGACUGAGACACGGCCAAGACUCCUACGGGAGGCAGCAGUGGGGAAUAUUGCACAAUGGGCGAAAGCCUGAUGCAGCGACGCCGCGUGAGGGAUGACGGCCUUCGGGUUGUAAACCUCGUUCAGUAGGGAAGAAGCGAAAGUGACGGUACCUGCAGAAGAAGCACCGGCUAACUACGUG
rnacentral:rRNA from 1 species